GAUGUUAGAUUGGCAUCUGUUUUAGAUUCUUCAGCUUCAGCAGCUUGGCACCACUCAAGUUACCAACAAGGAUGGAGUGACAAAGGAGGAACAGCAUUAAAAAUGGAAGAAAUAGAGGCUAAGCAUGAAGAUAAAUUGUCAUUGUUUAAAAAAUAAGAGAAUGAAAGGAAGAAUUUUACCCACAAAACAAAUAAUCCCUUGCAGAUGGCUAUUAGGACAUGGUCUGCCCAGCAUCUCCAGCCUGGCCCAGGAGUGUGCCUGUUGGGAGGAUGAAGAGAGCAAGGACUAUUCAAUCAGUAAAUGCUUUCAGAUGGCUCAGGUUUUUUUCACAUUUGUAGCUCCCUGAGAGAAGGGAUAAAAAGAAGCAGCUUCCACAGCUGCCAAAGAAGCGGAGAGUUGGUUCUGCCUGUGGAUGAAUGAGGAAAGCCUUCCCCCCUGGAGCUAACACAGCAUCCCUCCAGACCUUCAAUAGGAAGGACAGCUGCUUCAGCUCAGAUUUUUCUCCUCACUUCCACAACAGCAGUGUGGUGCUCUGUGAAUGAAUUCAGUGUUUGCUGUAAAUGCAAGGAAUGGUAGCUGUACUGCAGAGAAGGGGAGGUAGAUGUCUCUUGAUGUGGGGAAGUGAUAGUGUAUGUAUGCUGUACACUGAAACUCAGUGCAUGUGAAAAAGUAAGAGCCUGGCCUACUUGGACUGUCCUGUAAAAGCUCAGUGGUUUUCUGUCACAAUGCAUGAGGGUUGCAUGCAUGACCUGCACCUAACCCUAGGGAAACCAUCUGGGCUCUGGUAGCUGUACCAUUUUCUGUUGUUUCUUCCAGAAACUCACUCCAGGUCAGAACUUGUUGUAGUGUGUUCUGUUGGUUUGUUUAAUUGCUCCCCCAUUUUCUGUAUUGCUCCCCCAUUUUCUGUAAUGGUUCUGCUCUCCCAGUUUUUCCCGCCUUAGCUUUGUCAGUUAUUGUGUUCCCAUGGCAACUCCUGCCAUGGUAUUGUCUGUCAUUUGGUUACCUUGGUUACUCCCGCCACAGUUUAUGUCAAUCCUCUCUGUUAUAUGAUUUCCCCUCCCCUGUGUUUCCUUAUAUGUGAAUUUGUUCUUCUCCCUGGGCCCAAUCACUCCCCAUCCCUCCUAGUUUGCCAGAAUCUUCUGUGCUUAGGGAGACUUGAUUGGCUGUGGCUCCGGGGUCCCUCCUUUACAUUGUUUCUGUUGGGUUUUUCCUCAUGUCAGUUAUCCUAAGUUCACUUCCCUACCUUCCCCUAUUGGUCCUUUGUAAACCCCUCCCUGAGAUCCCUCCUCCGCUUUAUAACCCUGUUGCACUCUUUGUUCUGGGGCACGUGCUGGUAGACGCAUUAG
rnacentral:lncRNA from 1 species